GCCAGGCAUGGUGGUGCAUGCCUAUAGUCCCAGCUCCUUGGAAGGCUGGAGUGGGAGGAUUGCUUGAGGCCAGGAGUUCAAGGUUGCAGUGCGCUAUGCUUGUGCCUAUGAAUAGCCACUGCACUCCAGCCUGGACAACAUAGCAAGACCCUGUCUCAA
rnacentral:SRP_RNA from 1 species